CCUACGGGUGGCAGCAGUGAGGAAUAUUGGUCAAUGGACGAGAGUCUGAACCAGCCAAGCAGCGUGAAGGAUGACUGCCCUAUGGGUUGUAAACUUCUUUUAUAUGGGAAUAAUAUGUUCAACGUGUGGGAUUUUGUAUGUACCAUAUGAAUAAGGAUCGGCUAACUCCGUGCCAACAGCCGCGGUAAUACGGAGGAUCCGAGCGUUAACCGGGAUUAUUGGGUUGAAAGGGAGCGUAGGUGGAUUGGUAAGUCAGUUGUGAAAGUUGAGGGCUUAACCCUAAAAUUGCAGUUGAAACUAGCAGUCUAGAGUACAGGAGAGGUGGGCGGAAUUCGUGGUGUAGCGGUGAAAUGCUUAGAUAUAACGAAGAACUCCGAUUGCGAAGGCAGUUCACUGGACUGCAACUGACGCUGAGGCUCGAAAGUGUGGGUAGCAAACAGGAUUAGAUACCCUUGUAGUC
rnacentral:rRNA from 1 species